UGUGUCUCUCUGCCCCCGCUGUCCUCUCGGUCCCUGAGACCCUUUAACCUGUGAAGACGUCCAGGGUCACAGGUGAGGUUCUUGGGAGCCAGGAGGCCGGCCCAUCAACUGACAAGAGCC
rnacentral:precursor_RNA from 12 species